rnacentral:rRNA from 1 species
GCCCUAACACAUGCAAGUCGAGCGGCAGCACGGGUAGCUUGCUCCUGGUGGCGAGCGGCGGACGGGUGAGUAACGCGUGGGAAUCUACCCUCUUGUGGGGGAUAACUUGGGGAAACCCAAGCUAAUACCGCAUAAGUCCUAAGGGAGAAAGCGGGGGAUCUUCGGACCUCGCGCAAGAGGAUGAGCCCGCGUCAGAUUAGCUAGUUGGUAGGGUAAAGGCCUACCAAGGCGACGAUCUGUAACUGGUCUGAGAGGAUGAUCAGUCACACCGGAACUGAGACACGGUCCGGACUCCUACGGGAGGCAGCAGUGGGGAAUCUUGGACAAUGGGGGAAACCCUGAUCCAGCCAUGCCGCGUGUGUGAAGAAGGCCCUAGGGUUGUAAAGCACUUUCAGCAGGGAGGAAGGCUUUAGCUUAAUACGCUGAAGUACUUGACGUUACCUGCAGAAGAAGCACCGGCUAAUUUCGUGCCAGCAGCCGCGGUAAUACGAAAGGUGCGAGCGUUAAUCGGAAUUACUGGGCGUAAAGCGCGCGUAGGCGGCUACUUAAGUCGGAUGUGAAAUCCCCGGGCUCAACCUGGGAACUGCAUCCGAUACUGGGUAGCUAGAGUGCAGUAGAGGGAGGUGGAAUUUCAGGUGUAGCGGUGAAAUGCGUAGAGAUCUGAAGGAACACCAGUGGCGAAGGCGGCCUCCUGGACUGACACUGACGCUGAGGUGCGAAAGCGUGGGGAUCAAACAGGAUUAGAUACCCUGGUAGUCCACGCCGUAAACGAUGUCUACUAGCCGUUGGGAAUCUUAGUAUUCU